rnacentral:rRNA from 1 species
GAUGAACGCUGGCGGCGUGCCUAAUACAUGCAAGUCGAGCGAACGGACGCGACGCUUGCUUCUCUGAUGUUAGCGGCGGACGGGUGAGUAACACGUGGAUAACCUCCCUAUAAGACUGGGAUAACUUCGGGACACCGUAGCUAAUACCGUAUAAUCUUUUGAACCGCAUGGUUCAAUGGUGAAAGACGGUCUUGCUGUCACUUAUAGAUGGUUCCGCGCUGCAUUAGCUAGUUGGUAAGGUAACGGCUUACCAAGGCAACGAUGCAUAGCCGACCUGAGAGGGUGAUCGGCCACACGGGAACUGAGACACGGUCCAGACUCCUACGGGAGGCAGCAGUAGGGAAUCUUCCGCAAUGGGCGAAAGCCUGACGGAGCAACGCCGCGUGAGUGAUGAAGGUCUUCGGAUCGUAAAACUCUGUUAUUAGGGAAGAACAUAUGUGUAAGUAACUGUGCACAUCUUGACGGUACCUAAUCAGAAAGCCACGGCUAACUACGUG